CAACCCUCAAGCUCUGCUUGGCCUUGGGCCGUCACCGGUAACGGUCGGGACCUCAAACCCAGUGGCGGUGCCGUCUGGCUCUAAGCGUAGUAAUUCUUCUCGCUAUAGACGUCCGGCGGAUACUUGCCAGUAACCCCCAACUUUCUUAAGG
rnacentral:misc_RNA from 1 species